rnacentral:lncRNA from 1 species
AUGUUGUGAUUUUCUUCUAAUUCAUGAUUGUGGUCCUGUUGGCAUCUUUGUUUCAUUAUAAGUAACAUGAUUCCCGUGCGCAGUUCAUGCCAUUUUAUUUUCUGAAUUGAUCUACAACCAGUACAUGGUUUACUCAGAUAUUGCGAUCAACCCAUAUUAUCAGUUCUCUUUUCUCUACUCUUCUCUUCUCUACUCUAAAAAAUAAAAAAGGUGAAAAAACAUUCUUUCGCUCCGUCCCCGCACCCCCUCCGUUUUUUUUCCUCCCCUCGUUUCCCCACCUCUAUAUUAUUACUUACCCCUAUUUGUACCUUGGUCCCUCUAUAUUAUUACUUACCCCUAUUUGUACCUUGGUUUACUUAAUUAGGAUAUAUUCGUAAACAUAGUAACUCUUUGACUGCCACCUUCCUCCGGAAUAAAGUAAAGAGUAAAAUACACUGUAGGCCUAUCAACUUUACACAUGGUGUCACUUAGGUCCAUCAACUCUAAAUGUGCAUUUUUAGUCCAUAAACUUUUCAAGUCAUUCACCACAGGUAAAUACACCUCCACGUCGACACCAAAUGGUGAUGGGGCAUCUCCU